UACGGAGGGUGCAAGCGUUAAUCGGAUUUAUUGGGCGUAAAGGGCGUCUAGGCGGGAGCAUAAGUCAGACGUGAAAGCCCGGAGCUCAACUCCGGAAUUGCGUUUGAAACUGUGUUUCUUGAGGGUAGACGGGGGAAACGGAAUUCCACGUGUAGCGGUGAAAUGCGUAGAUAUGUGGAAGAACACCGGUGGCGAAGGCGGUUUCCUAGUUUACACCUGACGCUGAAGCGCGAAAGCAAGGGGAUCAAACAGG
rnacentral:misc_RNA from 1 species